rnacentral:rRNA from 1 species
UACGGAGGGUGCAAGCGUUGUCCGGAAUCACUGGGCAUAAAGGGCGCGUAGGCGGCUUCCUAAGUCAGGGGUGAAAUCCGGCAGCUCAGCUGUCGCAGUGCCUUUGAUACUGGGAAGCUCGAGGGAUGUAGGGGUCUGUGGAACUUCCGGUGGAGCGGUGAAAUGCGUUGAUAUCGGAAGGAACGCCGGUGGCGAAAGCGACGGACUGGACAUCUUCUGACGCUGAGGCGCGAAAGCCAGGGGAGCAAACGGG